ensembl:lncRNA
GGGGCAGGUGGCGAGGAGGGUACCAGGCCGGAGUGUCCGCCUCAAGUGCAGCCCUGGGACGGGGAGUGGAGGUGGGGGACAUCCCCGGGGAGGCGGCGGGGGUGGGGGUGGGGGAACAUCCCCAGAGGCCUAUGCACCUAUAUUCUGAGACCCCUGGUGACAGACAGCGGUGGGGCCAGAAGGUGGGAACAUGAAAGGACACCCUUUUCCUCUAGUGCCUCCCAUCCCCCUGCUCCAGUGCCUGGGGAUCUAGGACUCAUCCAAAGUGACCAAGACACGGUAUCUGGAAGAGAACAGCCAGGACGAGAAUUACCAUCUAGAAGGAAGGUUCCAGAAUGUUAGGUCACAGACUGGAGGAGACCAGCCAGAAUUCAGGAGAUGACUGGCAACCUCCCCUCCGCUGCCAACCCUAGGGGAGGGCCCCAAGCAAUGAGCAUGUUGAAAGCGGAGCCCCAGCAUCCCUAACUAAGCACCUUGCUUCCCUUGGGCUUUGCAGGAAGGGGAACAGAGGCAAGGGAGCAGUGAAGCACUUGUACCUCUAAUCCCCGUCUGGGGACCUGGGAGCCCUUCCCACACCUCCAGAACGGGGUCCAGGGUGGCUUUGAGGAAGGGAAAGGAAGGACCUGCCACUACCAACCGCAGAGGGAACCAUGUCUCCCAGAGAACCAACAGGAAUGUGGUAUCUCUGAAUAGACCUGAGCUGAGGGGAGACCCCGGAAGCCCCUCCCCUCUUCAGCAGCGUGGCAGAGUAGGGGUUAACAGGGAGAGGCUGCAAGACUGGAGCAGGCGGUGGCUCCCGCCUCCCCCCCCCCCCCCCCGACCCCCAGAGUUGCUGACUCUUCCUUUUUGUUCGGGCUGACAGCGAGCACCUGGUGUGCUCCUGCAACAAUAUUGUUCCUGCCUCCCUCCCUCCAGGCCCCAGGCUCCCCUCUCUCUCCCCCUCCCCACCCGCAGGCAGCCUUCCCCUCCAUCUCCUCUUCCCCCUAGCCCCUCCUGCCACUGGCCUCCUAGGAGCACCCCCCCAACACAACCACAAGCACGGACCCUGCGGUGUCAAUAAACACAACAUAUGCUGCCA